rnacentral:rRNA from 1 species
CCUACGGGAGGCAGCAGUGAGGAAUAUUGGUCAAUGGGCGCAAGCCUGAACCAGCCAAGUAGCGUGAAGGAUGACUGCCCUACGGGUUGUAAACUUCUUUUAUAAGGGAAUAAAGUGACUUACGUGUACAGCUUUGUAUGUACUGUAUGAAUAAGGAUCGGCUAACUCCGUGCCAGCAGCCGCGGUAAUACGGAGGAUCCGAGCGUUAUCCGGAUUUAGUGGGUUUAAAGGGAGCGUAGGCGGGUUGUUAAGUCAGUUGUGAAAGUUUGGGGCUCAACCGGGAAAUUGCAAUUGAAACUGGCAGUCUUGAGUACAGGUGAGGUAGGCGGAAUUCGUGGUGUAGCGGUGAAAUGCUUAGAUAUCACGAAGAACACCGAUUGCGAAGGCAGCUUACUGGACCGCAACUGACGCUGAUGCUCGAAAGUGUGGGUAUCAAACAGGAUUAGAUACCCCAGUAGUC